GAUGAACGCUGGCGGCGUGCCUAAUACAUGCAAGUCGAGCGAACAGACGGGGAGCUUGCGCCUCUGACGUUAGCGGCGCACGGGCGAGUAACACGAGGAUAACCUACCUAUAAGACUAGCAUAACUUCGAGAAGCCGACGCUAAUACCGGAUAAUAUAUUGAACCGCAGGGUUCAGUAGUCAAAGACGCUUCUGCUGUCACUUAUAGAUGGACCCGCGCCGCAUUCGCUAGUUGGUAAGGUAACGGCUUACCAAGGCGACGAUGUGUAGCCGACCUGAGAGGGUGAUCUGCCCCACUGGCACUGAGCCACGCCCCAGACUCCUGCGGGUGUCAGCAGCAGGGAAUCGUCCGCAAUGCUCGCAGGCCUUCCGGUGCACCGCCACGUGAGUCAUGAGGGUCCUCGGAUCGUAACACUCUGUUAUUAGUGAAGAACCAAUGUGUACUUACCUAUGCACGUCUUGACGGUACCUAAUCAGAAAGCCACGGCUAAUUUCGUG
rnacentral:rRNA from 1 species